CUGAACACCUCGUUACCAAAGGAGUUAGAGUCUAAGGUCUCCACACGCUUCCUGGAGGGGAAAAGAACACAAGCCAUCAAGUCUAUAAAUCAUGUCAUCAAGCCACUGACAGUAACCAUCAGGUUGAUACCAUGUUAUCAAGCCACUGACAGUAACCAUCACACCAGCAGGUUGAUAUGUCAUCAAGCCACUGACAGUAACCAUCAGACCAGCAGGUAGAUAUCAUGUCAUCAAGCCACUGACAGUAACCAUCAGACCAGCAGGUAGAUAUCAUGUCAUCAAGCCACUGACAGUAACCAUCAGACCAGCAGGUAGAUACCAUGUCAUCAAGCCACUGACAGUAACCAUCAGGUAGAUAUCAUGUCACCAAGCCACUGACAGUAACCAUCAGGUAGAUACCAUGUCAUCAAGCCACUGACAGUAACCAUCAGAUCAGCAGGUCGAUACCAUGUCAUCAAGCCACUGACAGUAACCAUCAGGUAGAUAUCAUGUCACCAAGCCACUGACAGUAACCAUCAGGUAGAUAUCAUGUCACCAAGCCACUGA